rnacentral:rRNA from 1 species
AGGUAAGCUACUAAGAGCGAAUGGUGGAUGCCUUGACUGGUAAAGGCGAUGAAGGACGUACUAGACUGCGAUAAGCUACGGGGAGCUGUCAAGAAGCUUUGAUCCGUAGAUUUCCGAAUGGGGCAACCCAAUGUAUAGAGAUAUACAUUACCUAUAUAGGAGCGAACGAGGGGAAUUGAAACAUCUUAGUACCCUCAGGAAAAGAAAUCAAUAGAGAUUGCGUCAGUAGCGGCGAGCGAAAGCGCAAGAGGGCAAACCCAGUGCUUGCACUGGGGGUUGUAGGACUGCAAUGUGCAAGAGCUGAGUUUAGCAGAACAUUCUGGAAAGUAUAGCCAUAGAGGGUGAUAGUCCCGUAUGCGAAAAACAAAGCUUAGCUAGCAGUAUCCUGAGUAGGGCGGGACACGAGGAAUCCUGUCUGAAUCCGGGUCGACCACGAUCCAACCCUAAAUACUAAUACCAGAUCGAUAGUGCACAAGUACCGUGAGGGAAAGGUGAAAAGAACUGAGGUGAUCAGAGUGAAAUAGAACCUGAAACCAUUUGCUUACAAUCAUUCAGAGCACUAUGUAGCAAUACAGUGUGAUGGACUGCCUUUUGCAUAAUGAGCCUGCGAGUUGUGGUGUCUGGCAAGGUUAAGCAAACGCGAAGCCGUAGCGAAAGCGAGUCUGAAUAGGGCGCUUAGUCAGAUGCUGCAGACCCGAAACGAAGUGAUCUAUCCAUGAGCAAGUUGAAGCUAGUGUAAGAACUAGUGGAGGACUGAACCCAUAGGCGUUGAAAAGCCCCGGGAUGACUUGUGGAUAGGGGUGAAAGGCCAAUCAAACUUCGUGAUAGCUGGUUCUCUCCGAAAUAUAUUUAGGUAUAGCGUUGUGUCGUAAUAUAAGGGGGUAGAGCACUGAAUGGGCUAGGGCAUACACCAAUGUACCAAACCCUAUCAAACUCCGAAUACCUUAUAUGUAAUCACAGCAGUCAGGCGGCGAGUGAUAAAAUCCGUCGUCAAGAGGGAAACAACCCAGACUACCAGCUAAGGUCCCUAAAUCUUACUUAAGUGGAAAACGAUGUGAAGUUACUUAAACAACCAGGAGGUUGGCUUAGAAGCAGCCAUCCUUUAAAGAAAGCGUAAUAGCUCACUGGUCUAGUGAUUUUGCGCGGAAAAUAUAACGGGGCUAAAGUAAGUACCGAAGCUGUAGACUUGCACACAACUUAGAUUAUUUAAGUUUAGAAUAUGAGAAACUAAGUUAUAUGUUUAGUUAUAUUUUUACUGAUUUUUAUAGAGUAAAGAUAGAAAUAAAACUUAGUAAAAUCAGUAAAAAUAUUCUUAGGCUAAAGUUAAGUAGUUUAAGUUGUGUGCAAGUGGUAGGAGAGCGUUCUAUUUGCGUCGAAGGUAUACCGGUAAGGAGUGCUGGAGCGAAUAGAAGUGAGCAUGCAGGCAUGAGUAGCGAUAAUUAAUGUGAGAAUCAUUAACGCCGUAAACCCAAGGUUUCCUACGCGAUGCUCGUCAUCGUAGGGUUAGUCGGGUCCUAAGUCGAGUCCGAAAGGGGUAGACGAUGGCAAAUUGGUUAAUAUUCCAAUACCAACAUUAGUGUGCGAUGGAAGGACGCUUAGGGCUAAGGGGGCUAGCGGAUGGAAGUGCUAGUCUAAGGUUGUAGGAGGUUAUACAGGCAAAUCCGUAUAACAAUACUCCGAGAACUGAAAGGCUUUUUGAAGUCUUCGGAUGGAUAGAAGAACCCCUGAUGCCGUCGAGCCAAGAAAAGUUUCUAAGUUUAGCUAAUGUUGCCCGUACCGUAAACCGACACAGGUGGGUGGGAUGAGUAUUCUAAGGCGCGUGGAAGAACUCUCUUUAAGGAACUCUGCAAAAUAGCACCGUAUCUUCGGUAUAAGGUGUGCCUCCCUUUGUAUUAGAAUUCACUUCGAAAGCAAAGAAGGUUACAACAAAGAGUCCCUCCCGACUGUUUACCAAAAACACAGCACUCUGCUAACUCGUAAGAGGAUGUAUAGGGUGUGACGCCUGCCCGGUGCUCGAAGGUUAAUUGAUGGGGUUAGCAUUAGCGAAGCUCUUGAUCGAAGCCCGAGUAAACGGCGGCCGUAACUAUAACGGUCCUAAGGUAGCGAAAUUCCUUGUCGGUUAAAUACCGACCUGCAUGAAUGGCGUAACGAGAUGGGAGCUGUCUCAAAGAGGGAUCCAGUGAAAUUGUAGUGGAGGUGAAAAUUCCUCCUACCCGCGGCAAGACGGAAAGACCCCGUGGACCUU